AUGGACAGACCCACGGAUGGAUGGACAGACCCAUGGAUGGAUGAAGGAAUGGAUGGAUCCAUGGAUGGGUGGACAGACCCAUGGAUGGAUGGACAGACCCAUGGAUGGAUGAAGGAAUGGAUCACUCCAUGGAUCCAUGGCUCCAACCUGGCCUUGGACACUUCCAAGCAUUUCCCACAACCUCUGUGGGAAAUCCAUCCCACCCUUUACAGGAAGGAAUUUCUUCCCAAUCACUUUGAAACCACUCCUGGGUGUUCUCCUCCUGUUUAUUCCCUGUUUUUGAUGGUUUUUCCCUGUUUUUUCCUCUCCAGGUGCCAGCAUGUCCACGGAUGGUGGCUUUGGCACGGGGAGCAGCGAUGCCCAGCAGAGCCUGCAGAGCUUCUGGCCACGGGUGAUGGAGGAGAUCCGGAACCUGACCGUGAGGAACGACAUUGCCAUGGCCAUCACCAAAUUCGAUCAAUUUGAUUUUCUGAUCGAUAUCGUGCCCAGGGAUGAGCUGAAACCUCCAAAAAGGCAGGUGAGAAACAAAAAUUCUGAAUUUUUUUAUUUUUCUCAGCCUGAUAAAAAACCAAAUAACACAGAUUUCAACAUGAGGUUUGUUCUGCUCUUUUUUAUUUCCUCUGGUUUUUUCAGGUUCUUAAAUUCUUUAAUUUAAUGGCUUUAAAUUCUUUAGUUUCAUGCUUUUAAAUUCUUUAAUUUCAUGGUUUCAAUACUUUCAUUUCAGGUUCUUAAAUUAUUUAAUUUAAUAUCUUUAAAUUCUUUAAUUUCAUGGUUUCAGUACUUUAAUUUCAGAUUCUUAAAUUCCUUAAUUUAAUGUCUUUAAAUUCUUUAAUUUCAUGCUUUUAAAUUCUUUAAUUUUAAGGGUUUAAAUUCUUUAAUAUCAUGGUUUCAGUACUUUAAUUUCAGGUUCUUAAAUACUUUAAUUUAAUGUCUUUCAAUUCUUUAAUUUCAUGCUUUUAAAUUCUUUAAUUUUAAGGGUUUAAAUUCUUUAAUUUCAUGAUUUUAAAUUCUUUCAUUUCAAGGGUUUAAAUUCUUUAAUUUCAAGAGUUUAAAUUCUUUAAUAUCACGGUUUCAGUACUUUUAUUUCAGGUUCUUAAAUUCUUUAAUUUCA
rnacentral:lncRNA from 1 species